rnacentral:rRNA from 1 species
UGAGUAGGCGGUUACAUAUGUCAGAUGUAAAAGGCACAGGCUUAACUUGUGUUAGCAUUUGAAACUGUGUGACUUGAGUGCAGGAGAGGUAAGUGGAAUUCCUAGUGUAGCGGUGAAAUGCGUAGAUAUUAGGAGGAACACCAGUGGCGAAGGCGACUUACUGGACUGUAACUGACGCUGAGUCACGAAAGCGUGGGUAGCAAACA